rnacentral:Y_RNA from 1 species
GGCUGGUCCGAUGGUAGUGGGUUAUCAGAACUUACUAAGUGUCACUAAAGAUGGUAUACAACCCCCCUACUGCUAAAUUUGACUGGCUUAAA